GUAGGUGGCAAGCGUUGUCCGGAAUUAUUGGGGCGUAAAGCGCGCGCAGGCGGUUCUUUAAGUCUGAUGUGAAAGCCCGCGGGCUCAACCGUGGAGGGUCAUUGGAAACUGGAGAACUUGAGUACAGAAGAGGAAAGCGGAAUUCCACGUGUAGCGGUGAAAUGCGUAGAGAUGUGGAGGAACACCAGUGGCGAAGGCGGCUUUCUGGUCUGUAACUGACGCUGAGGCGCGAAAGCGUGGGGAGCAAACAGGAUUAGAUACCCUGGUAGUCCACGCCGUAAACGAUGAGUGCUAAGUGUUAGGGGGUUUCCGCCCCUUAGUGCUGCAGCUAACGCAUUAAGCACUCCGCCUGGGGAGUACGGCCGCAAAGGCUGA
rnacentral:rRNA from 1 species